rnacentral:rRNA from 1 species
CGUUAGCGGCGGACGGGUGAGUAACACGUGGGUAACCUACCUAUAAGACUGGGAUAACUUCGGGAAACCGGAGCUAAUACCGGAUAAUAUUUCGAACCGCAUGGUUCGAUAGUGAAAGANGGUUUUGCUAUCACUUAUAGAUGGACCUGCGCCGUAUUAGCUAGUUGGUAAGGUAACGGCUUACCAAGGCGACGAUACGUAGCCGACCUGAGAGGGUGAUCGGCCACACUGGAACUGAGACACGGUCCAGACUCCUACGGGAGGCAGCAGAC